AGAGCCAAAGCUUCUUUCUUUCUCUUUAUUAUCUUCUUCCUGCCUAACUGAUCGGUCGGUGGUGAUAAGAUUAGAUCUGAAAGACUUGAUUUCUGGUGGUUUUUAACUUUUUAUGGGUCAAAAUGGGGUUUGUUCUGUUUAGUAUCUGUGGAGCUGAAUAGGGUGAGGGUUUGAAGCCUUCACAGCUUCUAAACGAAUCCAAAGAUUGUUACUUUGUUAUUGUUGGCCUUGGUUUUUUGAUAACUGUUUCUGGGUUCUCAUUUGUGGGUUGACGAAUAGUGCUGCGGCUUCUCCAAAUUGAUUGAAUCCUCUGUUGAAUAUGUAGUUGUUUAGAUUGUUCUGUAUCGUUUAGGUUGAUUUGGUUGUUUGAUUUUGACUGCUUUGCGAUGACUUUGAUGAUCUUUACAAUCUUUUUUUAUCAGUCUUUGCAAACCCGUUAAUAUAGGUUUUCAUUUUUGCCUUUCCAUUAUCAAUUAUUUUGAGUUAAGGAGGUCACAAUAGCAUGUUUCGAUUAUAUAAAUUGGGUCUGCAGCUGCUCCAUCUUUGCCUUGAUUUACAAGUAGUGUCAGCCUCGUUGUCUUUGUCUUGCCAGUACCAGGAUUUUACAGAAUUCUGAUGUUGCAAACUUUAGGGUGUUUUGACUGCAAAACCUUGCUGGUGUUUGUUUGUUGCUUGCCAAUUGCAGUCUGCAAAUUCAGCACUCAUAUUUUGUUUCUUGGAUUAUGAUUCAAGACUUUGUCUUUGCACUAAAUGAUCUCAGUUUUAAUUGAACACUUGGGUUGAUCCACGUUUCAUAUGGUUUCAUUAUAUUUCAUCUAUGUUCUCUUUGACUCUUUGUUUUCUUAGUUUUGUUCGUGAAGUUUGUGUUAUGAUAUUUCUUAUCUGCAUACUCUGAUGAGCUUCCAGGCCAAUGCAAUUUAGGCUUGGGUGAUUAUUGGUGGGUUCUUCUUUUUAUCUGCACAUUUCAAUAGUUGGUCUCUGAAAUUCUGGUGACCUUCCAGGCCAAUGCAAUUUAGGCUUAGGAGAUUAGUGGUGGAUUCUUAUUUUUAUCUGUGCAUUUCAGAUAGUGUGUUUAGCAAUCCUACUUUUAUAUAUUCAAUUGAUUAAUUAAAAUGUUGUUUUUUCUUUUAACCCUUCUAUUGUUUACAAAGCAUGAAGUAUCAUCUCUUAUAUGUCAUUUUAAUGUCCUUAGUUACCCACUAACUAUGGUAUCAUCUUCAGCUAUGGCUUCCAAAGGUAGGACAAGUAAGAGGAAGAAAUCAAAACAUCAAUAUGUAAU
rnacentral:lncRNA from 1 species